AUUGAACGCUGGCGGCAGGCCUAACACAUGCAAGUCGCACGAGUGGCGGACGGGUGAGUAAUGUCUGGGAAACUGCCUGAUGGAGGGGGAUAACUACUGGAAACGGUAGCUAAUACCGCAUACCAUCAGAUGUGCCCAGAUGGGAUUAGCUAGUUGGUGGGGUAACGGCUCAACAAGGCGACGAUCCCUAGCUGGUCUGAGAGGAUGACCAGCCACACUGGAACUAAUGCAAGGUCCAGACUCCUACGGGAGGCAGCAAUGGGGAAUAUUGCACAAUGGGCUCAAGCCUGAAGCAGCAGUGCCACGUGUAUGAAGAAGGCCUUCGGGUUGUAAAGUACUUUCAGCGGGAAGGCGUUACCCGCAGAAGAAGCACCGGCUAACUCCGUGCCAGCAGCCGCGGUAAUAC
rnacentral:rRNA from 1 species